UGUUGUCUCCGCCUCCACCGGUUUACUUGCCACCACCGCCUCCACCACCAGUUUAUUCACCUCCUCCACCAGUUUAUUCGCCACCACCGCCACCACCUCCACCACCACCGGUUUAUUCACCUCCUCCACCAAUUUAUUCACCACCGCCGCCGCCACCUCCACCACCACCGGUUUAUUCACCUCCUCCACCACCUCCACCACCAGCACCGGUUUAUUCACCUCCACCGGUUUUCUCACCACCGCCACCAUCACCACCUCCUCCAGUUGUGUCACCACCACCACCAACUCCAUUGCCAACACCACCUUAUUGUGUACGCUCACCGCCACCUCCACCACCAAAUUCUCCACCUCCCCCGCCACCGCUUACUUACUCGCCUCCACCCCCUCCCCCUUCGCCCUACUAUUAUAAUUCACCACCACCACCACCUCCACCAAACUCACCACCACCUCCCCCACAAAACUCACCACCACCACCCGUUUACAUAUACUCAUCACCACCGCCCCCACCAGUAUACUCUUCACCUCCACCCCCUCAUUCACCUCCUCCUCCGUCCCCGGUUCCUUGUAUAGAACCCCCACCCCCACCACCUCCUUGUAUAGAACCACCUCCACCACCACCUUCUCCAUCCCCUCCACCACCAGUUUAUUACUAUAAUUCGCCACCCCCACCAUCACCUCCGCUACCAGCACUACCCCCACCAUCGCCAUCACCUCCACCGCCAGUUUAUUAUUAUAAUUCACCACCCCCGCCGUCUCCUUCACUCCCUCCUCCUGUCUACUAUCAUUCACCACCCCCACCCCCAUCACCAUCACCACCACCGCCAACUCCAGUAUAUGAAGGGCCAUUACCACCAAUUAUAGGAGUUUCAUAUGCUUCUCCUCCUCCACCCCCCCUCUAUUGAUUCUUUAAGAAAAUUUCUCUCUAACUCAUCCUCAAAACACAAAAUUAUACCUACAGUAGAUUGAAGUUGUGGAGAAUAAAUUUGCAAAGAAAAGAUUGCAGCUUUGCAGGGAAAUUGUAUUGUAUAGAGAUGAUCAUAAUCUGGACUAGAAAAGCCAGUUUACAGUGCUUGUUGUAACUGGUUUCCUCCUCUUUUUUUUUUGGUGAGUUUUAUUGUUAUUAUUCAGCUUCUUUAUUUUUCUUUUAACCUUUUUAAUGAAUCAUACUUUGCUUCCUUUGUCUUUAUUUUGGUCUUCCAUUAUAAUAAUAGGAGUAAUAGUAUAGUGAUGAGCAUUUUUUAUUUGUAUUGAUUCUCAGAAUUCAGAUCAUAUUUUUCUAUUUCUU
rnacentral:lncRNA from 1 species